rnacentral:lncRNA from 1 species
AGACAACUUCCCCAGGCAACAAAUCUGUGCCCUGCAGUGUUCAAGGCUCUGGGUGUAGCAGUGAGUGAAGUAGCCCCUGCCCUGAAGGAGCAGGCAUCCAAGUGGUGAAGAGGAAGGCAGAUGAUGGUUCCAUAAACCAGGCAGGAGAGCCAUGGAGAGAAGAGAACAAAGAGGGCAGCGCUACAGACACGGACUUGGAAAGACUGACGUUGACAGAUCUGACAGAGGCCAUGGGCUCCACGGUUUGCCAGCGUGUGCCUGAAGGGUAAGCACACAACUGCUUUGAAAAGGUCCCUUUCCCAGUUGCAUUUUGGCUGUUACUUCCUCAUAUUAUCCAUCCUCUGACCUUGUGCAUUUCCAAGGGUUUUGGUAUAUUCAGUGUUCUCCAGCCAUCAGAACUAAGUCUACAACAUUCUCAGCACCUGGAGGAACUCUCUACCCUUUUGCUACCACUCCAGCCUGUCCCUAGCAAAAGUAUAACCUGCUUCGUCUCGAAAGAUCUAUUCUGGACAUGUCCUACAUGAAAGAAAAUGCAGUCCUACUGUGUGUGGCCUUUUGUGACAGGCUUCUUCUGCCCUUGGCAUCUUUUCUAAACCAUGCAUGAUCUGUGUGUUCUGUCGGCAUCUCAUUUCUUUCUAUGGCUGAAUGAUCACUGUAUAGAGAUGACACAUUUGUUGAUCCAUUCGACAGAUGGGCAUAUAGUGUUUCUGUGGACAUUCAAGUUCUCUGGAGUACUACUGAAGGGUAAGAUUGCUGGGUCAUGUGGUAUCUCUGCCCCAGCUAUUUCUGAACUCAGGGAGGCUGGUGUGUCCUACCCAAGUCUCCACCCACAGCCAGUGUGCAGCCCCUCCAUCUACCAGAGCACUGCAUCUGCAGGGAGGACUCCCAGAAGCUCAGGCAGCUCACCUGUUUCUCUCCCAGAGGCUGUAGUCCUGAGCUGUUGCCACACUGGAAAUAGUUUUUAACUUAUAUGAUCAUUUUCUGUUGUGUAUAGCAACAGAGUCUAGGAUGGUCACCCGUCGAAGCUAGGAGCCUAAGACGCUGGCACUUUCAAAACUGUGGCAUCUGAGAGCUGCAUCACCUGAAGUUCCUGGAGAUCCAAGUGCAGAUGGCCGCUUCCACUAGCGGUUACCCACAGGGGCCAGGUCUCUUGUGUUUAAUGCCCUCCCACGAGUCUUCUUAUGGUUUAAUGUGGAGAAUGAAUCUUAGGAAUGCUGUGGGUACGGAGUCGUGCCUGCUUUCUUCCAGGACCAACUUCUAUUCGUGUCUGAUUGGCACCAUCAGGCGCUUUUCCAGUCAGCCCCUUGCCCUCGCAAAACUAACUUGAGACUAUCACAUCAGGUUUUCUGCUGAGGACUUCUCUCACUUCUAUGAAUAAAUCUACGGUGUUCUGGGACCGCAGAGGAGUGUGCUUGUGGGUGUGUAGCCUCAAGGGCCACUCCAAGGCAGCCCAGAGAGACAUGGGAUACUACAGGGAUGUUGAGACGGGAACAGCGCCCCUCAUUCAGCAUCUCGUUGGUGUUUCCUGCUGAGUGUCAAAGAUUUUAAACAACCACUGAGAAUUCUGCAUUCAGAGGCAAUGUUCUUUUCUAAGAGAUGUCUUCAGCAGGAUGCAAAACACAGUAUAGUAGGCUUGGCUUGCUCAGAGCCCGAAUGUUUGAGAUCUCUGAGUUCGGUCCCCUCAAACCUCUCUCCUGCCUACACCCCAACAAUGUACCCUGCAAAGCCUCCUUACAAUUUUAUUUGCAUAAGGAACCUAAGGAAAAUAGGUAAAUGGGUCCAUAGGCUUUUCCACUUUGUAAAUUUUGCUUAAUCUUAUUACAUCCUUUCAACAAUGUUUAACUUUAAAAGCCACAAAAUCUCAUGUUUAUCCAAUUAAAAAAGGAAAAAAAAUCAAAAUCUCACAUGCAGCUAUUAUUUUCUCCCACCACAAUAUUUUUAUUAAUUAUUUGGAAACUUCAUACAAUGUACCCUGAUACACUCACCUCGCUUCCCAUUCCUCCAGAUCCACCCGCCCACCCUUGUGUCCCCCCCCUCAAAUAGACAAGAAAUAGAAAAAUAAGAAAAGAAAGAAAAAAGACAAUUACAAAUAAACAAGCUCUGCCUCCCUCC